rnacentral:rRNA from 1 species
UGAGGAAUAUUGGUCAAUGGGGGCAACCCUGAUGCAGCGACGCCGCGUGAGCGAUGAAGCCCUUCGGGGCGUAAAGCUCUUUCGACCGGAACGAUAAUGACGGUACCGGGAGAAGAAGCUGCGGCUAACUACGUGCCAGCAGCCGCGGUAAUACGUAGGCAGCAAGCGUUGUUCGGAGUUACUGGGCGUAAAGAGUGCGUAGGCGGUUUUCUAAGUUCGGUGUGAAAUCUCCCGGCUUAACUGGGAGGGUGCGCCGAAGACUGGGAAGCUGGAAUGUGGGAAAGGCAGGCGGAAUUCCUGGUGUAGCGGUGAAAUGCGUAGAUAUCAGGAGGAACACCGGCGGUGUAGACGGCUUGCUAGACCAUAACUGACGCUGAGGCACGAAAGCGUGGGUAGCAAACA